GCCGAGGUGGCGGAACUGGCAGACGCGCGGGCCUCAAAAGCCCGUGGCCGCAAGGCCAUGAGAGUUCGACCCUCUCCCUCGGCA
rnacentral:tRNA from 1 species